rnacentral:lncRNA from 1 species
CUAUUAUGUAUUGACUGACCUGCAAAAGUCUAGAGUGAGGAAAACAAUUGUACCAUAACUACUGUUACUCCUCUUUCCAAAUUAGUUGGGGCUGGUAAGAUGGAUCCUCAGUAACCACUCAGCUCUAUUUGUCCUGUUUCAUUCUAUACCCAAUAAUUUGUCCUAAUGGGGUUAUCAAAAGACUAGUGAUCCUCUAAACCAUGUACUUAUUUGUGCAUCAAAAUAUAAUUUCUACCCGAACUAAAAGGAUUCUUGUCAAACACCAGACCUGUUGUUAGUGAACCCAGGAUGAGGACAGCAAUGUAAGUGUUCAACUAACAAACACCAGACCUGUUGUUAGUGAACCCAGGAUGAGGACCCAAUGUAAGUGUUCCACUAACAAACACCAGAUCUGUUGUUAGUGAACCCAGGAUGAGGACCCAAUGUAAGUGUUCCACUAACAAUUGUAUUCAUUUUGUGGACAUGUUGAGCCUUGGAGGCCAAACAUUGCGUCCAUAUAAAAUUACAGAUUUCACAAACAUUCUGGAGAACUUACCUUUUACUUUGGUAGGUAUCCUCUGAACGCAUAGCACAGCCUUAACAUUUCUCCAUUCCAGUGAACCUAUUUUAAUUCUGUCGUGCAACUUCAUCUAGAUGAAUUGACUGCAUAUAGUCAUCUCACUCCUUUCUUCUUGUGUUGGCUAACUUGUAGUCUAUAUGAUUUUUGCUUACUUCUACUUUUCCUAAG